rnacentral:rRNA from 1 species
AAUAGAUACCCAGGUAGUCCACGCCGUAAACGAUGAGUGCUAAGUGUUAGAGGGUUUCCGCCCUUUAGUGCUGAAGUUAACGCAUUAAGCACUCCGCCGUGGGGAGUACGGCCGCAAGGACUGAAAACUCAAAGGAAGUUGACGGGGGCCCGCACAAGCGGUGGAGCAUGUGGUUUAAUUCGAAGCAACGCGAAGAACCUUACCAGGUCUUGACAUCCUCUGACAACCCUAGAGAUAGGGCUUCUCCUUCGGGAGCAGAGUGACAGGUGGUGCAUGGUUGUCGUCAGCUCGUGUCGUGAGAUGUUGGGUUAAGUCCCGCAACGAGCGCAACCCUUGAUCUUAGUUGCCAUCAUUAAGUUGGGCACUCUAAGGUGACUGCCGGUGACAAACCGGAGGAAGGUGGGGAUGACGUCAAAUCAUCAUGCCCCUUAUGACCUGGGCUACACACGUGCUACAAUGGACGGUACAAAGAGCUGCAAGACCGCGAGGUGGAGCUAAUCUCAUAAAACCCGUUCUCAGUUCGGA